UGUCUUCUACAUCUAUCUAUUCUUAACGAGCGCAAUGCCCAUUUAGCUCUUUACCCACGGGUUAUCCAUAUUUUACCCGAUUCCUACUAUAAAAUACACAUUUUACUUGACCCAUUUAGUAAACUAAACCGGAAUAUAACCGACUCCCCCAGCUAAAGUUCUGCGCUUGCCUUCUUCACGGAAAUUGAUUGCUGAUUUAUUCCUUUGUCUUCUUAUUUCGGCAUUCACCUCUUUCAUAAUAGAAAGAGACUCAUCAGCGAUGGAUUCACAUUCGCAGCAGCCGAUGACUAACCGGUCAAGCACAGGUGUAGGUCGCAAGAGAAAUCAUGAAAAUCAAGAAGAUAGUUCAUUUGCUGGCAUCAGCUUAACCAUGGCCUGAAAUUCAUCAAUCCAACAUUGUACUUGCUGCUGUGUUAUGCUUAAAGUAGGAACACCACGUGUUUGUUUAUUUAAUUCACCAUUAGCAUGAUAUAGCAGGUAGCCGUCGCCAAGUAUCUGGUAAUGCGUUAUGUUUAUUUCUUCAAUGAUGCACUGAAAACAUUAAGAAAUCCAAGAAGAUUAGUACUUCGUCGGCCUUUGAUAGUAUCAGCUCAUGAAAAAAUGCCACGAAUCGUAUUCCGCUAUCAGCUGUUGAUCAGAAUGCAUCCAAUCAAUGUAUGUUCGAUUUUACUGUCAAAUGUACAAAAUGUACACAGUUGCAGUGGAAUAGACUUGGGAAAGAAAAUGAAUCAUGUUACUCAAAACUCUGGAUCUCAAGACUUAGAAAAUCAGCUUAUUGGUUCAAAUGUCUGGUACACAAGUGAGGGCCAAAGCCAGCAACCAUUUCUUCAGAUCAGUCUCCUCUUGCUACAGAAACACAGGACUGAUGAACAAAUCUCGCUGGUGCGGAGGCCCCUCUAUGGCAAGUUGAAGCAAAGCAGUUCCACCAGGCUGCGAAUCCUGCACCAGAACCUGAAAUGCUCUCUGGGCACUAGAGCCGCCUCUAUGUAACCCCUGUUCGAAAAGUCUUGACGGUGUAGAAAUGUUUGGUUUGACUUCGCCAGCUGUUGUGCAGCUUUCUGGCUAUCAAAUGAUCAUUGCACUCCUGCGCUAUUUAUAUGAUUGUUGAGGAGAAGCCAACAUUUCCCAACAAACUCUAUCCAAUAGAUCUGCCAGUAGGAGUUCUACUCAAAAGCGGCACGACCGUGGUCCGGGAAUGCACAAUAUCAUAAAGAGUCUUCAGACUACCCCUGAUCAAACAAGCGGAUUUGCAUCAGGUUCUGGGAUGGAUUAUAACACGGGUUCAAACGAGGCAUAAGUUCUACAUGGUUUGCCGCCAAAUCUCUAACUAUGCAGCAUCUACUUUGCUUACUGUUUUAAUGUUUUUCGUAGUCCGUAAACACUGUUGGACUGAUUUAGAAGACGAAAGCACGCAAGGUAUUAUUUUACCACAAUCUAAUGUGGUUUCCACCAUUUCCAGGUCUUAUGUUGAAGCAUCAAAGAAAUACUUUUGUUUCAAUUUGUAAGAGCACUACUUGCCUAGAUAUUCACCAUGUAUCUGUUGUGUUUUAUUUUUUGAGGUAGCAUGUCAUAUACCUAGAGCUCUUGGUACAGCUCUACAUCAAUUUCUGAGCAAUAGGGAGGAAAGGAUUGAAAGACAAAAAACUGAUUAUCAAAAGCAAGAUGCCCAGUCAAUAGCAGACCAUAAAUUGCAGUAUGGUUAAUCUUUUGGAUUUGUUAAAGACUACAUGUGAAUUGUGAUCGUGUGAUGAAGCUAUAUUUGGGUAGUAUUUAUGAAUUCUAAUGAAGUUAUAACUAAAAUGUUUCAAUCUGCAUAUUAGAAGAAAUGAUAUAGGAACUAAGAGAGUGAACAACCUAUUUAUACACAUCCAAAGCUAACCUUGCACCUGGACCCUGCUAAUUUCGGAGCCUUGGCUAUGAACUUGAAUUGUGCUGCAUUUGGUCCUUGAUUAGCAUAUUUUCUGGCCUUGAGCGGUAACUAAUUAGGCAGAUAAGAAAAAAUUACUUGCGGUUAUAGAACUACAAGAGCCUAUUCUUAGCUUAGCUUUUUUAGUACAAAAACUUCACAUGGAUAUAUUACAUUAAAAAUGUGUCAAGUAUUGGACCCUUUAGAUUGCAAUCAGACACUCUCUCACAAAUAUAGCAUUUUUAAAAUCUUUUAGGGCAAAUAAAAAUCUAUUAAAAUAAAAUCCAGAUGUGCCAAAGAAGAAUUUGGUAAAUUGUAGACUGUGAUAAUUUGCAACUGAUUAGAAAUUUUAGGCUAUAAUGAUUUGGUUUAUGAUGCAUGAUUGCCUGAUAUAUAAUGACUGUUUUCAGAUACACAUACUGAUGGAUCAUACAGAUACAAGAUUAUUGACGAGGUAACUGAAAUUGAGAUCAUAGUGCAGAGAAACUGCAGAUAAAUUAUUGUUACAACCUUGAAUUUGUUUCUAUCAAUUUUGUUAGUGAAGUACUUUCUAUAUACACACUUUAUAAUUUAAAGUGCUUUCUCUUAAUAAUGUGAAAAGACUCCGAGGCUUUUGAAAAUGGUUUUAUCUUUUAUUUGAUACUUUUUCUUUGGUAAUAAACCUAUAGCAGUUUACCCUCUAACUACACCAGACCAUAAAUUGCAGUAUGGUUAAUCUUUUGGAUUUGUUAAAGACUACAUGUGAAUUGUGAUCGUGUGAUGAAGCUAUAUUUGGGUAGUAUUUAUGAAUUCUAAUGAAGUUAUAACUAAAAUGUUUCAAUCUGCAUAUUAGAAGAAAUGAUAUAGGAACUAAGAGAGUGAACAACCUAUUUAUACACAUCCAAAGCUAACCUUGCACCUGGACCCUGCUAAUUUCGGAGCCUUGGCUAUGAACUUGAAUUGUGCUGCAUUUGGUCCUUGAUUAGCAUAUUUUCUGGCCUUGAGCGGUAACUAAUUAGGCAGAUAAGAAAAAAUUACUUGCGGUUAUAGAACUACAAGAGCCUAUUCUUAGCUUAGCUUUUUUAGUACAAAAACUUCACAUGGAUAUAUUACAUUAAAAAUGUGUCAAGUAUUGGACCCUUUAGAUUGCAAUCAGACACUCUCUCACAAAUAUAGCAUUUUUAAAAUCUUUUAGGGCAAAUAAAAAUCUAUUAAAAUAAAAUCCAGAUGUGCCAAAGAAGAAUUUGGUAAAUUGUAGACUGUGAUAAUUUGCAACUGAUUAGAAAUUUUAGGCUAUAAUGAUUUGGUUUAUGAUGCAUGAUUGCCUGAUAUAUAAUGACUGUUUUCAGAUACACAUACUGAUGGAUCAUACAGAUACAAGAUUAUUGACGAGAAUCAAACAUGGCCCAGGUGUGGAAACUAUCUUUAGAAGACAGAAUAUAGUCAUGUUUAGCGAAUCUAACAGAGGAAGUACAUUGUUAGAGACGGGACGAACUCCUCACACUGUCAUAGAUCAGAAUCUCAUGGAUCAGACUAUGUCAUCGCUAGACAAAGGAACACGUGGUAAUUUAUCACUUUUUGUCGUGACAUCUUGAUAUAUUCUAAAAAAGUUUGCUAAUGUUAGGUGCAGAUCUAUGAAUUUUUGUGACGUCUUGGAUGCUUUACACAAGGUUCAUAAAUAGGCAUUGUCAGCUGAUACGGCUUCUAACCCAUUGCCUCCAUUACUGACAAAUAUAGUUUUCUGUAAAACCAUGACAUUGCUUAAUGUCCCCAAGGUAAGCAGGAUCAUGAUCAUCAUCUUUGAUUUUAUUAUAGUAGUAGGUAGAAUAGCCGUUAAACAAGUGUCAAAAUCUCAGAACAAGAUGAAUAUAUUUGAUUAUCUAUUUGACUCCCACAGGCAGACUUCCUAAAGAAAAAGUUCGCGUUCCAGAACUAUUUUGUCACAAGGAUAUUAAACUGGCGUAUUAAUAUCAAUAUUUUAAGUGUAUUCCUUUUCCAUCAUCAUCUCAAUUCAUAGGUAAACAAAGGCAUGUAAAUUACUAUAAACAUAAUGUAGGAAGGGGUAUAGAAAUAGUAUUUCACCUUACUACACUCAUUCCCCUGAUUACAUAUUAUCUCUUCGGCCUGUCAAGGGAAUGCCCCUCAUAGUUCAACCUUUGAAUUAGGUUGCCAGAUUAAGAUUGAUUUCCGACCGUGUGUUCUUUCAAAUAAGGUGCACAACUUGCUCCAGACAUAUCCUAGACAUUUGACGGUUUUGUUGUUUAAUGGCUUGAGUCAUCCUUUUGGUUUGAGAAUAAUAUCAGUAAAUUUAUGUUUACUCUUAGUUACUCAUGAAAAUAGUAUGAUAGGAUAUGUCUGGGGUAAAUAGAUAAGCUGCUCCUGAUGUUGAUUUUAGCUACUGAUCUGAGCUAGCUGCAACAUCAGGAGCAGCCAGGAUAUGUUGCUGCUAGCUCAGAUCACAAGAGUCUGUUGCAGCACAGCCUAUCUCAUUGCAGCAUAAUGUUGUGUUGGUGAUAAACUUUUUUGGCCAUACCACAAGGUAGUUUCGCAACUAUUCUUUUUCUACUGUAAUGCACGUGCAGAUCUAUGAAAAGCUCCAAUGAUUGAGGGAUAUCACGUUUAAAGUAGCAUAAGUAGAGUGAGAAACUGCAUGGCCUAAGAGAUAGACUUACAUAGUUAUGUCAAUGCUAGCUGGUGAUUCACAUUACUUGGAUAUUGGACAAUAUCAGCUACAAAAAGAGCAGCAUAAUUAUCAUAUCAUGUGAAGAAGCCAUCUGUAAUUUCCAUCAGCAUUACAACUUUCCUUUACCUUUGCUGUGCAGGCUCUGUCUCUACAACGAUUAUGACAACUAUAUUUUCUCUGGAGAGCAGCCUAUGCUUUAUUGUCAAAGGAACAUCUAAGUUAAAGAGGAAUAGGUGUGUUUUCUUACUAUAAGGCUACAUAUAUUUGCUCUGUGCACAUUAUGGCUAAUGUUGUAGCUACUCCAGCAACUGAGAUAGCUGAAUAGAGAGCAUUUUCUAUCGAGAAAUACUUAAAUCUUAACCUCUAUGUUUACUUCAAUAUUUCUCUUAUAUACAUAACUGAUAUAAAAGAGAAAAAAAUCUUUAUCUAUUACGGAUUAUGCCCGGAUAAAAUAAAAGAUAAUUUCAAUGAAUUAAAAGUCACUGAAACUCUAACUACAUAUUUUGCUUUUGGUUUUAUAUUCCUAAAAUGAUCAACUUCUUUAUAUCCACCAUUAGCUUGCUACAGUUGAAAACCAAAGAACCAGUUCAAUAAAUGGGAGAUUGAAUGCAGGAGUAGUGCUGUAAGCCUGUAACACCCUACAUCUCUGUUUUAAUUUAAAUUAAUACUGCUGGCUAUGCUUUUUUUGUAUUGUUAUUAGUGGCUGAUAACAAUAUUACAUAUUGUACAGAAUCUUAAAGAAACAUUAAAAUGAUUUGAGGAUGCAUCUAAUUACUAGACACUCAUAACUUCACUAAUGCUUGAUUCUAAUUGCAGAAAUUGCAUGUUUUCUGCGUGUCUACAUUCUUUUAGUUGAUUUUUUCUUAUGGAGUGCAUUGUUGUCUUCAUGUGAGAUACCAAUGGAGAUUAUAAAUAUCCUGAAAUCUGAAAUUUUUUUUGCCCAUGGCAGCGUGUUCAUCCGAGGCCCAUUAAUACAAAUUCUCUAGCAUUUUAUAAGCAUUUUUUAUAUCAUAGUGUUUGAUGUGGCAUACUUUUGAUUUUUGUAUGGGUAAUGCUACAUACCCCAAAAUCCAAAAAUCUUUACCAAAUGAUGUGGCAAACAAGUGGCAAAUUAUGAUUGGGUGAUUGAUGAAUCUGCAGGGGGUCUCAUUAUUAUGGGACUGAAUAUAGCCAAUCAGAUUUCACCACAUCAUUUGGGAAAAAUAUUUGGGAUUAUUUUUUGGGGUCCCUAUCAUUUUCCUUUUUGUAUAGCUUUGGGUAGUUCUGGGUAUUUUCUUGAUGGCCAAGCUCAUGCCGCUGCCGCCACUGGUUUGUUAGCUCGCACUGAAUUUCACCUGCACAUGCCACCAGCUAUAGCUGUGACAACAAGAGGGAGAUUAAAAGGAUUGAGACUGCAGCUAUCACUUCUUGACCGUGAAUUUGAUGAUCUAGGUUUGUUGAUACUUAGUAGUAAGAGUUCACUUAUACACAAAGGAUGCAGUUCAAAAGCAUCUUCAUUGCAUUCACAUGCUUGCAAUCAAAUUCUGACAUAAUAGCUCUGAUACUUUCCAUGUUUGGCGUGCGGGUAUACAGAGUCAGUGUUUUAUUGUAACAUUGUUUGUUUUUCCUGUAUAACUUGACCAUAAGAUUUUUUAUGCGGCAAAUUAAGUUGAUUGUACCUAUCAAAGAGUGGCCGUUAGUUAUAUAGUUUGGUUGA